AACGAACGCUGGCGGCAGGCUUAACACAUGCAAGUCGAGCGCCCCGCAAGGGGAGCGGCAGACGGGUGAGUAACGCGUGGGAAUCUACCCAUCUCUACGGAAUAACGCAUGGAAACGUGUGCUAAUACCGUAUACAUCCUUCGGGAUAAAGAUUUAUCGGAGAUGGAUGAGCCCGCGUUGGAUUAGCUAGUUGGUGGGGUAAAGGCCUACCAAGGCGACGAUGCAUAGCUGGUCUGAGAGGAUGAUCAGCCACACUGGGACUGAGACACGGCCCAGACUCCUACGGGAGGCAGCGGUGGGGAAUAUUGGACAAUGGGCGCAAGCCUGAUCCAGCCAUGCCGCGUGAGUGAUGAAGGCCCUAGGGUUGUAAAGCUCUUUCACCGGUGAAGGUAAUGACGGUAACCGGAGAAGAAGCCCCGGCUAACUUCGUGCCAGCCGCCGCGGUAAGAC
rnacentral:rRNA from 1 species